UCGAACGAGAGAGAAGGAGCUUGCUUCUUCGAUCGAGUGGCGAACGGGUGAGUAACGCGUGAGGAACCUGCCUCAAAGAGGGGGGACAACAGUUGGAAACGACUGCUAAUACCGCAUAAGCCCACGGGUCGGCAUCGACCAGGGGGGAAAAGGAGUGAUCCGCUUUGAGAUGGCCUCGCGUCCGAUUAGCUAGUUGGUGAGGUAAUGGCCCACCAAGGCGACGAUCGGUAGCCGGACUGAGAGGUUGAACGGCCACAUUGGGACUGAGACACGGCCCAAACUCC
rnacentral:rRNA from 1 species